GCUCUGACAUCCAGGCUGGAGCACAGUGGCAUGUCAUGGUUCACCGCAGCCUUGAACUCCUGGGUUCAAGCAGCUUUUCAUCUUAGCCCCCAGAGAAGCUGGGAUCGCACUUGCUGAAGGAAGGCUCCCAUUUGUCCUCUGCUACUCAGAACUUGUGCAAAAUGUGGCUUAUUGUCAUGACAAAGACACUGUCAGGCCAAGCCUUGUCAGCGUUCCUGAGAUGCCAGGCCACCUGUCAGUGUGUUUGGGAGGGGCAGACCACUGCCAUGCAUUCCAGCACACCUCACAAGAGACCACUUUACGAUUAGCUAGGAGACCCUAAAGACUCCAAUACUGUUUUCAUAAAAUGGGAAAUAAGCAAUAUACAAGAAAUUGGACAACUUUUGCUAGGUAAGUAGAUGCAAUUUUUUCGAGUUUGUUUUGGAAUUUUGAAUCAGAUUGCCAGUGAAUAAAAGCCAUCCUAUCACCACAUUUUACUGUGAUUUGCUUUUUGUAUGAAUAUUUGGAAAAAUAUUGCAUUUGUG